UACCACGCUUCCAGGAAAAGCCACUAAGCUUCAGCUGUAGAAAAACCGUACCGCAAACCGACACAGGUAGGCAGGGUGAGAAUCCCAAGGCGCUUGAGAGAACUCGGGUGAAGGAACUAGGCAAAAUGGCACCGUAACUUCGGGAGAAGGUGCGCCUCUUGGUGUGGUCACGUGCGUGACUGAGCAUCGAGGGGUCGCAGUAACCUGGCCGCUGCGACUGUUUAUCAAAAACACAGCACUCUGCAAACACGAAAGUGGACGUAUAGGGUGUGACGCCUGCCCGGUGCUGGAAGGUUAAUUGAUGGGGUCAGCCGCAAGGCGAAGCUCUUGAUCGAAGCCCCAGUAAACGGCGGCCGUAACAAUAACGGUCCUAAGGUAGCGAAAUUCCUUGUCGGGUAAGUUCCGACCUGCACGAAUGGCGUAACGACAGCGGCGCUGUCUCCACCCGAGACUCAGUGAAAUUGAAAUCGCUGUGAAGAUGCAGCGUUCCCGCGGCAAGACGGAAAGACCCCGUGAACCUUUACUAUAGCUUUACACUGAACGUUGAGUUCUUCUGUGUAGGAUAGGUGGGAGGCUAUGAAACCAGGACGCUAGUUCUGGUGGAGCCAUCCUUGAAAUACCACCCUGAAGUGCUUGACGUUCUAACCUAGGUCCGUAAUCCGGAUCGGGGACCGUGUAUGGUGGGUAGUUUGACUGGGGCGGUCUCCUCCCAAAGAGUAACGGAGGAGCACGAAGGUACGCUCAGCGCGGUCGGACAUCGCGCACUGUGUGCAAAGGCAUAAGCGUGCUUGACUGCGAGAUCGACGGAUCAAGCAGGUACGAAAGGAGGUCUUAGUGAUCCGGUGGUUCUGUAUGGAAGGGCCAUCGCUCAACGGAUAAAAGGUACUCCGGGGAUAACAGGCUGAUACCGCCCAAGAGUUCAUAUCGACGGCGGUGUUUGGCACCUCGAUGUCGGCUCAUCACAUCCUGGGGCUGUAGCCGGUCCCAAGGGUAUGGCUGUUCGCCAUUUAAAGUGGUACGCGAGCUGGGUUCAGAACGUCGUGAGACAGUUCGGUCCCUAUCUGUCGUGGGCGUUGGAGAUUUGAGGGGGGCUGCUCCUAGUACGAGAGGACCGGAGUGGACGUUCCGCUGGUGUUCGGGUUGUCAUGCCCAUGGCAUUGCCCGGUAGCUACGAACGGAAGUGAUAACCGCUGAAAGCAUCUAAGCGGGAAGCACGCCCCAAGAUGAGAUCUCCCGAGAGCUUGACUCUCCUAAAGGCACCAUCAAGACUAGGUGGUUGAUAGGCACGGUGUGGAAGUGCAGCAAUGCAUUGAGCUUACGUGUACUAAUGAGCCGUGAGGCUUGAUC
rnacentral:rRNA from 1 species